rnacentral:lncRNA from 12 species
AGCAAGACUACGUAUUUGCCUGUGACACCAUAAAUGUACCCAGAGGCUCAGACCUGCUUCUUUUUUUUUUCAGACCUGCCUCUUACCCCAAAAAAACUCUGGGUCACUCUGGGGCAGCCCUCAAUAGCAAGAUGAGGAGAAAGAGCAGCAGCAAGCAAUCUACCCCACCUCGGUUUGCUGCAACAGGAUGGUAUGAGUUUUCUGAGCUGGAGUCAGAGCACCAUGACUCUCUCACCUGGUGCCCAGGUAAAGGAAGGAGCUGUCCACCAUCCCAACCCAGGAGACCCUCCAAGACCUGCCAAUGAUUCAAUAUUUCCAAAUAAGGUUGAUGUGUUCCAAGGUGUUCAAACACCUGGGGUGCUCCAAGUAUGGCUCACUGUCAGGGCUGGUCCAUGAACUACUCCUUAUG